rnacentral:rRNA from 1 species
UACGUAGGGUGCAAGCGUUGUCCGGAAUUAUUGGGCGUAAAGAGCUCGUAGGCGGUCUGUCACGUCGGCUGUGAAAACCCGAGGCUCAACCUCGGGCCUGCAGUCGAUACGGGCAAACUAGAGUACUGCAGGGGGGACUGGAAUUCCUGGUGUAGCGGUGAAAUGCGCAGAUAUCAGGAGGAACACCGAUGGCGAAGGCAGGUCUCUGGGCCGAUACUGACGCUGAGGAGCGAAAGCGUGGGGAGCGAACAGG